AUUGAACGCUGGCGGCAGGCCUAAUACAUGCAAGUCGAGCGGGGUUUUCGGACCUAGCGGCGGACGGGUGAGUAAUGCGUAGGAAGCUACCCGAUAGAGGGGGAUACCAGUUGGAAACGACUGUUAAUACCGCAUAAUGUCUACGGACCAAAGUGUGGGACCUUCGGGCCACAUGCUAUCGGAUGCGCCUACGUGGGAGUAGCUAGUUGGUGGGGUAAUGGCUCACCAAGGCGACGAUCCCUAGCUGGUUUGAGAGGAUGAUCAGCCACACUGGAACUGAGACACGGUCCAGACUCCUACGGGAGGCAGCAGUGGGGAAUAUUGGACAAUGGGCGCAAGCCUGAUCCAGCCGUGCCGCGUGUGUGAAGAAGGCCUUCGGGUUGUAAAGCACUUUCAGUAGGGAGGAAGGGUGUUGUGUUAAUAGCACAGCAUUUUGACGUUACCUACAGAAGAAGCACCGGCUAACUCUGUGCCAGCCGCCGCUGUAAAAC
rnacentral:rRNA from 1 species